AUUGAACGCUGGCGGCAGGCCUAACACAUGCAAGUCGAGCGGAUGAAGGGAGCUUGCUCCUGGAUUCAGCGGCGGACGGGUGAGUAAUGCCUAGGAAUCUGCCUGGUAGUGGGGAUAACGUCCGGAAACGGGCGCUAAUACCGCAUACGUCCUGAGGGAGCAAGUGGGGGAUCUUCGGACCUCACGCUAUCAGAUGAGCCUAGGUCGGAUUAGCUAGUUGGUGGGGUAAAGGCCUACCAAGGCGACGAUCCGUAACUGGUCUGAGAGGAUGAUCAGUCACACUGGAACUGAGACACGGUCCAGACUCCUACGGGAGGCAGCAGUGGGGAAUAUUGGACAAUGGGCGAAAGCCUGAUCCAGCCAUGCCGCGUGUGUGAAGAAGGUCUUCGGAUUGUAAAGCACUUUAAGUUGGGAGGAAGGGCAGUAAGUUAAUACCUUGCUGUUUUGACGUUACCAACAGAAUAAGCACCGGCUAACUUCGUG
rnacentral:rRNA from 1 species